rnacentral:rRNA from 1 species
UACAGAGGUCUCAAGCGUUGUUCGGAUUCAUUGGGCGUAAAGGGUGCGUAGGUGGCGGGGUUAGUCAGGUGUGAAAUCUCGGGGCUCAACCCCGAAACUGCACUUGAUACUGCCUUGCUAGAGUACUGGAGAGGAGAUUGGAAUUUACGGUGUAGCAGUGAAAUGCGUAGAUAUCGUAAGGAAGACCAGUGGCGAAAGCGAAUCUCUGGACAGUUACUGACACUGAGGCACGAAGGCCAGGGGAGCAAACGGG